AUGGUGUCGAUCGCAGCUGGUUCGGCCGCUCAUCCGCAGUGGUCGAGGCAAGAGGGAACCCGGUGGAAAUCCGGGACUGCCCCGCAGCGGUGAGUGGGAACGACCGCCGUCAUCAGCACUGGGCCGCCAAGCGGCCUGGGAAGCGACGGCCAGUAGGAGACCGGCGAGUCCGGUCGUGCCCACAAGUCCGAAGACCUGCCAGCGCGCCGCGCACCCG
rnacentral:ncRNA from 2 species